GUGAGUAACACGUAAGGAACCUGCCCUCAAAUCUGGAAUAACCCUGCUAACGCGGGGCUAAUGCCGGAUGUGGACACGGGAUCGCCUGGUCCUGUGUUUAAAGGUGACCUCUUCUUGAAAGUUACUGUUUGAGGAUGGCCUUGCGGCCCAUUAGCUUGUUGGUGAGGUAACGGCUCACCAAGGCUUCGAUGGGUAGCCGACCUGAGAGGGUGAUCGGCCACAUUGGGACUGUGAUACGGCCCAGACUCCUACGGGAGGCAGCAGUAGGGAAUUUUGCGCAAUGGACGAAAGUCUGACGCAGCAACGCCGCGUGAGGGAUGAAUGCCUUCGGGUUGUAAACCUCUGUUGAGUGGGAAGAACCGGAGUAUGGCUAAUAUCCAUAUUCCCUGACGGUACCACUCGAGGAAGCCCCGGCUAACUACGUGUCAGCAGCCGCGGUAAUACGUAGGGGGCAAGCGUUGUUCGGAAUCACUGGGCGUAAAGGGAGUGUAGGCGGAAGGGUAAGUUAAGAGUUUAAGGCCCCGGCUUAACUGGGUGCACGCUCUUAAUACUGCUUUUCUUGAGUAUGGGAGAGGGUGAUGGAAUUCCAGGUGUAGCGGUGGAAUGCGUAGAUAUCUGGAAGAACACCAGUAGCGAAGGCGGUCACCUGGCCCAAUACUGACGCUGAGGCUCGAAAGUCGGGGGAGCGAACAGGAUUAGAUACCCUGGUAGUCCCGACCGUAAACGAUGGAUACUAGUUGCUGGGAGAGUCAAUCCUUUCAGUGACGAAGCUAACGCAUUAAGUAUCCCGCCUGGGGAGUACGCUCGCAAGGGUGAAACUCAAAGGAAUUGACGGGGGCCCGCACAAGCGGUGGAGCAUGUGCUUUAAUUCGAUGCAACGCGAAGAACCUUACCUGGGUUUGACAUGGGGAUGAAACUCUUCAGAGAUGAGGAGCCUUCCUUCGGGAACAUCCCGCACAGGUGCUGCAUGGUUGUCGUCAGCUCGUGUCGUGAGAUGUUGGGUUAAGUCCCCCAACGAGAGCAACCCCUGCCAUUAGUUGCUAGCGAGUAAUGUCGGGAAGUCUAAGGGGACCGCCUGGUCCAUCCAGGAGGAAGGUGGGGAUGAUGUCAAAUCAUCAU
rnacentral:rRNA from 1 species